CUGAUAUCCCUAGUUGUUCUAGUGUCUUGAACAUAAAGGGGUGCUGUAUUUUGUCAGAUGCUUUUUCUGCAUCUAUUGAGAUGAUCAUAUGAUUCUUAUCUUUGUGUCUAUUGAUGUAAUAAAUUACAUUUAUUGAUUUGCAUAAGUGGAACCAACCCUGCCUCUCUAGGAUGAAUCCCACUUAAUCAUAUUGCACAAUCUUAGUAAGCUCUGUUUUCUAUUUUUAUCACUUGGUAUUGGUCUGUUUCAAUUGUGUAUGUCUUCCUGAUUCAAUCUGGGCAGAUCGUAUGACUUAAGAAAUUUGUUGAUAACUUCAAUGUCUUCUAUUCUCUGUUUUUCUGUCAUAUCUGUUGUAAUAUUAUCAUUUUCAUCAUGUAUAUGGGUAAUUUGAGUUCUCUCUCUCAUUCUCUUUUUUAGCAUGGCUAAUAGUCUGUCAAUUUUAUUUAUUUUUUCAAAGAACCAACUUUUUUUCUCCAUAUUUUCAACUGUUUCUUUGGUUUCAAUUUUAUUGAUUUCACCUCUAAUUUUAAUUAUUUUUUGCCUUCUACUGCUUUUGCUGCUGGUUUGUUCCUCUUUUUUUAGGGCUUUGAGUGGUAGUGUGAGGUCAUUUAUUUGUUAAUUUUUUUUUCUUUGAAGGAAUGAACUCUAUGCAAUGAAUUUUCCUCUUAGUACUGCUUUCAUAGUGUCUCAGAUUUCCAUCGGUUGUUUCUAUGUUCUUAUUUACCCCUAAGAAAUUGUUAAUCUCCUCCUUGAUUCCUUCUGCAAUGCAUUGUUCAUUCUGUAGCCUAAUGUUUAGUCUCGAG
rnacentral:lncRNA from 1 species